rnacentral:rRNA from 1 species
CAUUACGAGUCUUAGCUCAAAACCCAAAGGACUUGACGGUGUCCCACCCACCUAGAGGAGCCUGUUCUAUAAUCGAUACCCCCCGCUAUACCUCACCACUUUUAGCCUAUCAGCCUGUAUACCUCCGUCGUAAGUUUACCGUGUGAACGCUUGUAGUAAGCUAAAUGACUUUCCGUCAGUACGUCAGGUCAAGGUGCAGCCCAUAAAGUGGCAAGCAAUGGGCUACAAUUUCUAAUUUAGAACAAACGGAUAAACUGUAUGAAACCAGUUUAGAAGGCGGAUUUAGUAGUAAAAAGGAAGUAGUGCUUUUUAAUUCGGCACUGGGACGUGU